AUUGAACGCUGGCGGCAGGCCUAACACAUGCAAGUCGAACGAGUGGCGGACGGGUGAGUAAUGUCUGGGAAACUGCCUGAUGGAGGGGUAUAACUACUGGAAACGGUAGCUAAUACCGCAUACCAUCGGAUGUGCCCCGAUGGGAUUAGCUUGUUGGUGGGGUAAAGGCGCACCUAGGCGACGAUCCCUAGCUGGUCUGAGAGGAUGACCAUCCACACUGGAACUGAGACACGGUCCAGACUCCUACGGGAGGCAGCAGUGGGGAAUAUUGCACAAUGGGCGCAAGCCUGAUGCAGCCAUGCCGCGUGUAUGAAGAAGGCCUUCGGGUUGUAAAGUACUUUCAGCGGGGAGGCGUUACCCGCAGAAGAAGCACCGGCUAACUCCGUGCCAGCAGCCGCGGUAAUAC
rnacentral:rRNA from 1 species